CCGCCUCAGCCUUCCGAGUAGCUGGGACUACAGAUCCAGGAAGGCCACUGAGAUUUCCACUUUAUCUACUGUUCCUUGUGCACAUACUUACCAUAAAUCAAAACAGCCUCUGUGUUGUCAUCCUUCAAUAUUCAACACAUCACAUUGGAGUUGCCCUUUCCCUACAGAAUAUAAGCUCUGGGUCUGGGGGCUAAUGGUGUGGGGAUCCACCAUCUUGUCUUGCCACCACCUGAGACACAGACGUGGCUUCUAUUCGUAUGUCCCUAUUAACUGUUUUUCUCUGAGAA
rnacentral:antisense_RNA from 1 species